UACGAACUGUGCGAACGUUAUUCGGAAUCACUGGGCUUACAGGGUGCGUAGGCGGCUAUUCAGGUCAGGUGUGAAAGCCCCCGGCUCAACCGGGGAACUGCGCUUGAAACCGAGUGGCUCGAGUCAGCUAGAGGUACACGGAACUUCCAGUGGAGCGGUGAAAUGUGUUGAUAUUGGAAGGAACACCGGAGGCGAAAGCGGUGUACUGGGGCUGGUCUGACGCUGAGGCA
rnacentral:rRNA from 1 species